rnacentral:rRNA from 1 species
UACAGAGGGUGCGAGCGUUAAUCGGAAUUACUGGGCGUAAAGCGUGCGUAGACGGUUAUGUAAGUCAGGUGUGAAAGCCCCGGGCUCAACCUGGGAAUUGCAUUUGAGACUGCAUAGCUAGGGUGCAGAAGAGGGAAGCGGAAUUUCCGGUGUAGCGGUGAAAUGCGUAGAUAUCGGAAGGAACAUCAGUGGCGAAAGCGGCUUCCUGGUCCAGCACCGACGUUCAGGCACGAAAGCGUGGGGAGCAAACAGG